UGGGGAAUUUUCCGCAAUGGGCGCAAGCCUGACGGAGCAAUACCGCGUGCGGGAGGAAGGCCUUUGGGUCGUAAACCGCUUUUAACAGGGAAGAAUAACUGACGGUACCUGUUGAAUAAGCCUCGGCUAACUCCGUGCCAGCAGCCGCGGUAAGACGGAGGAGGCAAGCGUUAUCCGGAAUUAUUGGGCGUAAAGCGUCCGCAGGUGGCUUAUCAAGUCUGCUGUUAAAGCCCAGGGCUCAACCCUGGAGUGGCGGUGGAAACUGUUAGGCUAGAGUGCGGUAGGGGCAGAGGGAAUUCCCAGUGUAGCGGUGAAAUGCGUAGAUAUUGGGAAGAACACCAGUGGCGAAGGCGCUCUGCUGGACCGCAACUGACACUCAUGGACGAAAGCUAGGGGAGCGAAAGGGAUUAGAUACCCCCGUAGUCC
rnacentral:rRNA from 1 species